GAUGAACGCUGGCGGCGUGCCUAAUACAUGCAAGUCGAGCGAACAGAUGAGGAGCUUGCUCCUCUGACGUUAGCGGCGGACGGGUGAGUAACACGUGGAUAACCUACCUAUAAGACUGGGAUAACUUCGGGAAACCGGAGCUAAUACCGGAUAAUAUAUUGAACCGCAUGGUUCAAUAGUGAAAGACGGUUUUGCUGUCACUUAUAGAUGGAUCCGCGCCGCAUUAGCUAGUUGGUAAGGUAACGGCUUACCAAGGCAACGAUGCGUAGCCGAGCUGGGAGGGUGGUCGGCCACACUGGAACGGAGACAGGGUCCAGACUCCUACGGGAGGCAGCAGUAGGGAAUCUUCCGCAAUGGGCGAAAGCCUGACGGAGCAACGCGGCGUGAGUGAUGAAGGUCUUCGGUUCGUAAAACUCUGUUAUUAGGGAAGAACAAAUGUGUAAGUAACUAUGCACGUCUUGACGGUACCUAAUCAGAAAGCCACGGCUAACUACGUG
rnacentral:rRNA from 1 species